CGGGGUGCAGCAGGCGCGAAACCUUAGCAAUGUGCGAAAGCACGACUAGGUUAAUCCGAGUGGUUCCUGCUAAAGGAACCUUUUGUCAGUCGUAAAACCACAGACGAAUAAGGGGUGGGCAAGUCUGGUGUCAGCCGCCGCGGUAAUACCAGCACCUCGAGUGGUCAGGAGGUUUAUUGGGCCUAAAGCAUCCGUAGCCGGCUUUGCAAGUCUCCGGUUAAAUCCAGCUGCUUAACAGAUGGGCUGCCGGAGAUACUACAAAGCUAGGGAGCGGGAGAGGUAGACGGUAUUCUGUGGGUAGGGGUAAAAUCCUUUGAUCCAUAGAGGACCACCAGUGGCGAAGGCGGUCUACCAGAACGCGUUCGACGGUGAGGGAUGAAAGCUGGGGGAGCAAACCGGAUUAGAUACCCGGGUAGUCCCAGCUGUAAACGAUGCAAACUCGGUGAUGCAUUGGCUUAUGGCCAAUGCAGUGCCGCAGGGAAGCCGUUAAGUUUGCCGCCUGGGAAGUACGGACGCAAGUCUGAAACUUAAAGGAAUUGGCGGGGGAGCAC
rnacentral:rRNA from 1 species